rnacentral:lncRNA from 1 species
CCUUCAGCUUUGGUCCCUCGGGGCGUCUGGGCAGCCUACGCUUUCCGGAUAAAAAUGGCAGAAUGAAAGAAUUAUGAGUGGAACUAGAGAAUAGGAAAGACAUGAACCAACGCCCAAAAUGAGAAAGAAGGACAUAUAAAGAAAAAGACAAAUACAAGUGAAAAAAAUAGACUAAUGGAUUAACGUCCCUGUCGUGUGACAUUUUCUGACUGGAAUCAGCCAUUUUACCAAGAAAGUUGGGUUUCUUUUACUGGCAAAUAGUACUUCAAGAGCACAGUCUUAUGUAAGGGAGCUGUACCAAGUUAUUUUGGGUCAGAAUUCUCCUGGGAUAUCUUUUUUCUUCGCCUUUUUAAACUCGUUUAUUAUAAAAACAAUGUUACCAUAUGCAAAACUAGAAGAGUGUAAUGAAUUCCCGUGUGUCCAUCAUCUAUCUUUAACAGAAGUACAGUCUAUAUAAAGACUGUCCAGGACAAAAACUGGCCACUCCAUUCAGCAUUGACAGCAGUAUUUAAAGCUGGUGCAUGGUGAGGUGAAGUUUCUCAAGGGCAAAGACAAUGCCUUCAUGCAUGUUCAGUGUCUGCCCCCGUGGGCUUUGAAAUGAUCGCUGACAAUGGGGGAUCUGCAGUGACUUCUCUGCCUCUGCCAAAGCCCAGGGGUGCUGCUCCCUAAUUCUAAGGAUUCUAAUGAGACUCAGAGCAGGUGUAACACAGGGCAUGGAGCUUCCUGAGCAAGAGGCUGGCUAACAAACUGUGGACGUGGUACUUAGACACAUUAAGAGACAUUACAGGGACACCUGCAAGUAUGUCUCCCUGGGGAGAAGCCAAGUGCAGAUGCUAUGGCCACAGAUGAUAUGGUUUGGCUCUGUGUCCCCACUCAAAUCUCAUCUCAAGUUGUAAUCCCUGGAUGUCGAGGGAGGGACCUGGUGGGAGGUGAUUGGAUUGGUUCGCAUGAUAGUGAGGGAGUUCUCACGAGAUCUGGUUGUUUGAUAAGUGUCUGGCAUUUCUCCUGUGCUGUCUCUCCUGCCACCUUGUGAAGAAGGUGCCUGCUUCUCCUUCGCCUUCCGCCAUGAUUGUAAGUUUCCUGAGGCCUCCCUAGCAAUGCAGAACUGUGAGUCAAUUAAACUUCCUUUCUUUAUAAAUUA